rfam:Felis catus isolate Cinnamon breed Abyssinian chromosome E2, whole genome shotgun sequence.
GCCUGGGUAGCUCAGUCGGUUGAGCGUCUGAUUUUGGCUCAGGUCAUGAUCUCACAGUUCAUGAGUUCAAGCCCCACAUCAGGCU